GCGGCUAGCAAUUAUUGGCGGAAAAUUAUGAGGGUGAAACCGUGAAUGACAGAAUAUGCAAUCAUGAACCAGAUGAUGUUAAACACCACAUUGCUGUAAACGCCAGAUAUGCCCCUGCUUAGCCACUUAUGAUGAGGAUGAAAGCCUUGCAUGCAAAUAUAAAACAGAAGUAAAAUUUUCCAUGCCUACUCCUCCUUGUUGUCUAUAAUUUUGAGGAGGUCCUCUUUAUGCAUGCAGCUUGGAUCUUUGAAUAUGUUGACUGGAAGUCCAGAAAGAUGGAAACCAUAAGGUGGCAAAAUGGAAUUCUUCUUGCCUUCUUAUGUCGGAGAAGUAUGUUAAUCCAUUUGGGGAUCCAAAUAUGGUAGGUUUACCUUCAUAAAAUGCCAAGCCACCAAUUUCAACGCCAAGCCCACUGAGGAGUUUACACUUAAAAAAAUAAAAUAACUAAGGAACUUGAAGCUUCUUAGAGGACUCUAAAACCAUUGGAUCACUCUGUGAAGCAACUUUCAUGCCCUCUCUGUACUGAGACUCCAAAAAGGAAGAAUCUUCUGAUGAAAAGGAUACCUUUUCCAUGAUCUUAAUAAAAUUAACAAGAACCAUAUAUACUUUAGGUAAUUUUACCUGCUUGAAAUUUGAAGAGAAUCUUCUCUGCAGUAUGCCAUAUGGUGGGAUACAUUUAUGUAUGUAAUCUGAUGUCAACUUCCUGUUUGUCUGUGCAUCUGUCUGUUUCAUACAAAACAAAUUUUCGUUGCAGUUUUCUCAGCAACUACUCAUUGCAGAUGCUUACAAUUUUAACAGAAUCUUCUCUGAGGCAUGCAAUACAGUGGGAUACAUUUAUGUUCAAAUCCAAUGUCAACUUCCUGUUUGUAAUCUGUCCGUUUAAUUCAAAACAAAUUUCAUCGCAGUUUUCUCAGCAACUACUCGUAGCCGAUGCUUGAAAUUUUAACACAAUCUCUUCUGAUGCAAGACAUAUGGUGGGAUAUACAUGUAUGUUUGUUAAAAUCUGAUGUCAACUUCCUAUUUGUCUGUGUGUCUGUCCGUUUCAUAUACAGUAUAUAACAAAUCCUCAUUAACUAACUUGGAGAUGCUUGAAAUUUUAGUAAACUCUAUGUUGAGGCAUGCCAUAUGGUGGGAUUAAUUUUUAUAGGAAUCUGAUGUCAACUUCAUAUUUUCCUGUGCAUUUGCCUGUAAUUGAACUUGUGUAUAUUAACAUGAUAGUGUUCAUUCACAUCAGAGCAGGGGUAUUAGUAGUGAGCAUUGGCUCACAUAUUUCUUGUUUAUGCUAAUCUAAUAUAAGAAUUUAUGUUUGCAAAAAACAUAUAGCAAGUAUUUAAUGAUUGAAUACUAAUUUUUCAAUGCAAUGAUAUAAAGUAAAAAAAAUGCAUUCACAUUGUUGAUAAGUUUAUGAUUGAAUAUGUAAAAUGUUAUAAUAUGUUCAAAACUUUCAUGAUAACAUUUCUCCUAAAAAGCCUAGAAAAAAAAUAUGUUUGUUUCUGCUUUCAGGGUGAAAAAAUGUAGGGUAGGUAGGUAGGUAGGCAAUUUUUUUUUGAAUUUUUUUUACUUCUUUAUUCAAAAGGUGUAUAGAAGUAACAUCAAUGACAAGACAUGGUGUUUUCAAGCAUUUUUGUGACUUAAACUUAUAAUAGAAAGGUGACUUAAACUUCUUUCUGGCUUGAAAAGCUUGCAAAGCUGAGGAGGUUAUAAGUCCCUGGUUGAAAUCUUGCACUUCAAGGGACAAAAGCAUUAAAAAAAAAUUGGGGUUCGCACUAUAAAUUAGGGUGGGUCGGGAAAGCGGAAACAAACAUUUUUUUCUAGGCCUAAGACUUAAGUAAGUAUUUGAAAAUAAGCAUUGUUGAUCAAUUUAUGGUAGCAUUUAAUGAAUUUCA